CCUACGGGCGGCUGCAGUGGGGAAUAUUGCGCAAUGGGCGAAAGCCUGAUGCAGCGACGCCGCGUGAGGGAUGAAGGUCUUCGGAUCGUAAACCCCUGUCAGCAGGGAAGAACGGUCACUGUGCUAAUCAGCAGUGAAUUGACGGUACCUGCAAAGGAAGCACCGGCUAACUCCGUGCCAGCAGCCGCGGUAAUACGGAGGGUGCGAGCGUUAAUCGGAAUUACUGGGCGUAAAGCGCUCGUAGGCGGUAUGUCAAGUCAAGGGUGAAAUCCCCGGGCUCAACGUGGGAACUGCAUUUGAAACGGGCAGACUGGAGUGUGGGAGAGGAGAGAGGAAUUCCAGGUGUAGGAGUGAAAUCCGUAGAUAUCUGGAGGAACAGCAGUGGCGAAGGCGACUAUCUGGCACAUAACUGACGCUGAGGAGCGAAAGCGUGGGUAGCAAACAGGAUUAGAUACCCGUGUAGUC
rnacentral:rRNA from 1 species